GAUGAACGCUGACAGAAUGCUUAACACAUGCAAGUCAACUUGAAUUUGGGUUUUUAACUUAGGUUUGGGUGGCGGACGGGUGAGUAACGCGUAAAGAACUUGCCUCACAGCUAGGGACAACAUUUGGAAACGAAUGCUAAUACCUAAUAUUAUGAUAAUAGGGCAUCCUAUAAUUAUGAAAGCUAUAAGCGCUGUGAGAGAGCUUUGCGUCCCAUUAGCUAGUUGGAGAGGUAACGGCUCACCAAGGCGAUGAUGGGUAGCCGGCCUGAGAGGGUGAUCGGCCACAAGGGGACUGAGACACGGCCCUUACUCCUACGGGAGGCAGCAGUGGGGAAUAUUGGACAAUGGACCAAGAGUCUGAUCCAGCAAUUCUGUGUGCACGAUGAAGUUUUUCGGAAUGUAAAGUGCUUUCAGUUGGGAAGAAAGAAAUGACGGUACCAACAGAAGAAGAGACGGCUAAAUACGUG
rnacentral:rRNA from 1 species